ACGGGCUCUGAUGGCUGUAGCUGGGUGUGGAGUCUUGUCUUCAUUCUUCUGCAUCUGUUUCUGCUGCAUAAAGCACAGAAAAAGGUGGAAACGUGCUCAAGACAGGUCAGUGUUGAAGCAGCCUGAGGAUGCAACAAGUCCAUCCAGCGAUGUAAAUGGAGAAACAACAAGCGGAAACACA